GACGAACGCUGGCGGCGUGCUUAACACAUGCAAGUCGAACGGAAAGGCCCUGCUUUUGUGGGGUGCUCGAGUGGCGAACGGGUGAGUAACACGUGAGUAACCUGCCCUUGACUUUGGGAUAACUUCAGGAAACUGGGGCUAAUACCGGAUAGGAGCUCCUGCUGCAUGGUGGGGGUUGGAAAGAUUUGGCGGUUGGGGAUGGACUCGCGGCUUAUCAGCUUGUUGGUGGGGUAGUGGCUUACCAAGGCUUUGACGGGUAGCCGGCCUGAGAGGGUGACCGGCCACAUUGGGACUGAGAUACGGCCCAGACUCCUACGGGAGGCAGCAGUGGGGAAUAUUGCACAAUGGGCGGAAGCCUGAUGCAGCAACGCCGCGUGCGGGAUGACGGCCUUCGGGUUGUAAACCGCUUUCGCCUGUGACGAAGCGUGAGUGACGGUAAUGGGUAAAGAAGCACCGGCUAACUACGUG
rnacentral:rRNA from 1 species